AGAGCAGGGGGACUCACAUGUUACUGAGACCACUCAAGGACAAGGGCAAGUGGGCAGAGUGCCCUGCAAGUGGGGGGUGGCCUUGGCAUCCAGAUUGUGUUCUGGGGCUGGUAGGGUAUGGGUAUGUGCAGGGUAAUCCUGGGCUAGACAGCAGGCACAUUCAGAGGCACCCAGUGGUGGCCUUUGGUGAGGACCAUCCUUUCCAGCAGAGCAGGGAGGGUCCUGGGGUCCCAGGCUGGGAGGGUGAAGAGCACUGAAUAAACACGUGGCCCGUUACAGCAUGUGGCUCACUUCCUGCCUGGCCUCAUGGGGUUGUAUGAAUCACUUUCCUUCCCAGGCAUAUUUAUUCAUAGCUGUGAGUGCGUCUUGGAGUUCCUCUGUUUCCUCCUGAGGUUAGGAAACUACCAUCUCUCUGCCACUCAUCCCCUAGGGCAGGGGAUACGUCCUCCUUCCCAGAGUGGGUGCCAGAGCUCAGACCCCUGGUCUCCCGAGCUCCCCCCACCCACCACUCCAGCUCAGCACACACCAAGACCCAGAGUUAGGACUGUGAGGCUCCUGGCACCAGCCGUGUGGGUUGGGGGCUUGGCCUCCUGCACCGAGAGGAACUGCCUCAGCCCACUGCUGCCAGCACGUGGUUGACAGGGAAAGAACCCUAUUGUGUUCCCUGUAUGAGCUCAGGGAGACUUCCUGGGUUGGAGCUCUCUGGUGUGGUCCUUCUCAGGCCUAAAGCAAAGCGUCUCUUCUAUGAUACCUCCAAGGCCACGUUCAGGAGAGGGGAAGGGAUCAGGACCUGGUAAGAAGGAUCGGGAGACGGGACUGGAGAAGGAGGCCUCCAGGGACUGAGUUUCCCAUGCCUCUUCCCACCUGUCUGAGCCACAGGGGUGGGGACGCCCCACUGGCCCAGCCCAAGCCUCCACCCUGGGCUCCCGUGGGCUGGCUGCACUCCCCAGGGAACCUUCUCUAUUCAAUGCUGUUCACCCUCCCAGCCCAGGACCCCUGGAGAUGAGAAAGAGUGGAGCAAAGGUUGAGGGGCAGAGGUUGGAGCCCCAGGCGGUAACACUGCUGGGUGGUGGCAGGAGGUGCCAGAGGGGCUGGGACUUGGACCAGAAAGUACCUGGCCUGAGCUGUGCUUUCUUCUCAUGUUGCCCCUGCAGAGCAGAAGCAGCCAGUUGCUCCUGAAGCCUUGACCAGGGCUCCUGAGUCCAGAGCCCUACUCAGGGCACUGGUGUGGUGGAGGCUUCUGCAUCUAAGGUUUCUUUUCCUCUUUGCUGACAACACUGGGUCAGCAACCCCUUAAGGAAUAAAACCCCUCUCCUGGCCAGCCACGGUGGCUCAUACCUGUAAUCCCAGCACUUUGGGAGGCUGAGGCAGGAGGAUCACUUGAGCCCAGGAGUUCAAGACAGGCCUGGGCAACACACUGAGACUCCUGUCUCUACUAAACAUACAAACAAUUAGCAGGUGUGGUCGUGUAUACCUGUAGUCCCAGCUACUCGGAAGCCUGAGAGAGGAGGAUCACCCGAGCCCAGGAGAUGAGGCCACAAGGAGCUGUGAUUGCGCCACUGCACUCCAUCCAACCUGGGCAACAGAGUGAGACCCUAUCUCAAAACAAAACAAAACAACAACAACAAAAACAACUGUUUCCCUAGCCUAAUUGCACCUCAGUUCAAAGAGCUGCCCUGCAAGAGUUAACCAACUCCCUAGCCUUCCCUGAGUUCUGAAAUCCUGCCCCCAGGCCUGGUCCCAGGUUGCCUAGCAACCAGGGGCUGCUCUGGGAUGCAGUAGGUAAGCAGGGAAGGGAAAGGAAGAAAGCAACUUGGUCUGUCCAUGACUCUAAAUGUCACUGAGCGAUCAGUGCAGAGAAAGGCCUGUCACCAGAGCCCAGGGCCCAGUUUGCCUGGUGGUGGGGACAGCUGCCCUCAGGCCAUCUGGUUUUCCCUCCUUUGAGUGGGCUUACAUAAGCAUUUGGCAUCUUUGCAAGGGACUUUAAGCUUACCCAGCAGUGACACCCCCUCCGGCCACACGCACACACAUGUGUGGUACAGGGAGGACCCGGUGUGGGAGGCAGAGAUGGGGUUCCAGCCAACUGAACCUCCAUCAUCUCCAUCUCCCGGCCUCUGACUGCCUCCCUCUGCCAAAGGGGAAAGAUGAAAAUGGUAACUGUUGGAAUUCGUAUUUUGUGAAUUCCAAAGACCUUUCUCAUUUGCUCUGAAUGCAUUCCUCAUCUCAGCCUCCGCUCUCUGACAUGCUACCCGCUGUCUCUCCAGCAUUCAUCUCUACCGGAAAUGAUCUUGUUUAUUUCUCUGUGUCCAUGUGCAGCGACUCUCCCCGCAACUAGAAAGCUCUGUGAGAGCAGGGAGUAAGACUGUCUUGUUUGAGGGCUCUCGUUCUCAUAGAGCCCACAGAGAACUAUACCCCUGGACUAAGCAGUGUGGGGUCUGCUGGCUUGCACCUGUACCCCCACCCCCCACCCCGCUCCUAGCCAAAGGCUAGGACAUGUGUCGGGAGCUUAAUACUUGCUUGUUUAAUGAGUGAAUGAACAAAAGCUCUCAUGAAAUAGGCAGUGCACGUAUCUUUAUCCCCAUUUGAAAGCUGAGGAAUCAAGCUUGGAGAGGGAACUACUUGCCUGAGGCCCCAGAGCACAGAAGCAGCAUAUCUGGCCCAAGAGCCUGGCUUCCUGUCUCCUGGGGGUCAGCUGCUGGCACUGGCCCAUAGGCCAUAUAAGCGUGGUCAGUAAGGUGGUCGGCAAGGAACCUUUACUGCAUGUUAGGGGGCAGGAGAUCAGCAAUGAGAAGGACAAAAUCCUUGCCCUGAAGGAGCUUGCCUUCCAAAAAGAGCAGGAGACCAUAGCAUAUUCAUUAAUAAAGACACCGUCUAACAGGGCCAAGUGCACUGAAGCACCUCAGACAAAGCAACAUGCUGUAGAAUGACAGAGGUCGGGGGUCGGGGACAGAAGAGUGCCUGCUUUAGGUGGUCGAAGAAGGCCCCUCUGGGGAGGUGCCAUUUGGUCUGAGACCUCAGGGCCAGUGGGCUAGAAGCAGAGACGCCUUGGGGAAGAAUGGAGAUGAGGUCGGACGGGGCGAGACACAUGCCUUCUAUGUCAAAGGCAAAGGAGUCAAUGGAGCAUGUGAAGCAGAGGAUGCUCUACUUUUUCCCCAGAAAGAUCACUCUGGCUAUAGUGCAGAGAGGGAGGAGAGUCAGGGAGGAAAGAAUGGCCCCAACACUGUACCUCCCAGUGUUGCAAAGCACUGGGAGGUACAGCUACAGCCGGGACCAGCACUUUGACAGAGGGGAUGAAGUGUCAGAUGCUGAGAGUGCUAUGCAGAUCGUGUCAGGGUUGACAGGACCUGCUGAUGGGUUUGGUGUGGGGUGUGAGGGGAACAGAGGCUGCGUCCCAGGCUCCUGGCCUGAGUGAUUGUAGAUAGUGGCACCAAAUACUGAGCUUGUGAAGAUCAGGGGAGAGCUGAUGAUGAAGACAGCAAGAGUUUGGUGUGAGCCACACUGAGUUGGAGACACACACCGGACAUGUAAGGGGAAAGCACAUGGACACGUGUACAGAAGUCUGGAGCCCAAAGGAGAGGUGUGGACCGCAGUGGACAAUCUAGGAGUGUUCAGAGUUCUGACACUGACCAAGAACACCCAAGAGAUAAUUCAGGAAUGAGGAGGGCUGAGGCAAGGGGCUAGCCACAGGCAGGACUGCAGACUUGCUGCCUCGUCUUAUUUGUGGAGAUGUAGUUCACGCGGCAAGAAAGGCGUUCCAAAGCCCUCAGUUCCUUUCUUUAUGCCUCAUUUUCUCCAUUAGCACAUUAAAAGAUGCCAGGUCUGGAGUUGGGCUUGUUUUUAAAAGGUGGCUUCCAAAGAUGGUUUUUCUUGGCCUUGGUCUGUCUCAUCAUCCAGGUCAGGACAGGCCCGGUCAUCAGCUGAGGGAUGCCACAGAAGUGACAGUCCACUGUGAAAGACCGCUGCUCCAGAUCAGUUCUGGAAGGCCUGGGGAUGGGGCAGGCCAUUGAAGUAGAACUGGAUGUCAAAUGCACACAUCAGAAAGGACAGGAGGACAAAAUGCAAAACUAGAGAGGGAGGGGGUACAGGGAGCAAGGAAGGAGGGUUAGAGACUCGAGAUGAAGGAAACGAGAGAUGGAAGAGAAGAGGGAGAACCGGAAGACAGAUCAACAGAAAGAGAGAGAGAGACGAGAAAGAAGGAGGAAGAGCUGCUGAUGACAGGGAUUUGGGCAGCGGCCAAAGAGAUGAAGAGAAGAGGGCAGAGCACGGGCUGUUUUAAACACAGAGAUGAUGAGCAGGACCUGCUGGCAGACGGAAUGUGAAAAGUGGAAGGAGCGGAGGCAGUGAGGACAGCUGCCUCCUGCGGAAAAGCCUGGGCUAGCCUACUGGAGGAGGAGAGCUGCCGGGAUCAGUGGCCUCAGCUGACUUCAGACACUGAGAGAGAGCUCAGCGAGCAGCAGCCUAUAGCUGACGACAGAUGCGUGAGGGAACCUGGCUGAGACCAAAACAACUGCCCAGCUGAGCCCAGGCUGAACUGCCAACGUGCAGAAUUGUGAGCUAAAUAAAGGCUUUUGUUCUAA